CCGCGGUAAUACGGAGGGUGCAAGCGUUAAUNGGAAUCACUGGGCGUAAAGCGCACGUAGGCGGCUUGGUAAGUCAGGGGUGAAAUCCCACAGCCCCAACUGUGGAACUGCCUUUGAUACUGCCAGGCUUGAGUACCGGAGAGGGUGGCGGAAUUCCAGGUGUAGGAGUGAAAUCCGUAGAUAUCUGGAGGAACACCGGUGGCGAAGGCGGCCACCUGGACGGUAACUGACGCUGAGGUGCGAAAGCGUGGGUAGCAAACAGGAUUAGAUACCCUGGUAGUCCACGCUGUAAACGAUGGGUGCUGGGUGCUGGGAUGUAUGUCUCGGUGCCGUAGCUAACGCGAUAAGCACCCCGCCUGGGGAGUACGGUCGCAAGGCUGAAACUCAAAGAAAUUGACGGGGGCCCGCACAAGCGGUGGAGUAUGUGGUUUAAUUCGAUGCAACGCGAAGAACCUUACCCAGGCUUGACAUCUAGGGAACCCUUCGGAAAUGAAGGGGUGCCCUUCGGGGAGCCCUAAGACAGGUGCUGCAUGGCUGUCGUCAGCUCGUGCCGUGAGGUGUUGGGUUAAGUCCCGCACCGAGCGCAACCCCUAUCUUCAGUUGCCAGCAGGUAAGGCUGGGCACUCUGGAGAGACCGCCCCGGUCAACGGGGAGGAAGGUGGGGACGACGUCAAGUCAUCAUGGCCCUUACGCCUGGGGCUACACACGUACUACAAUGGCGCGCACAAAGGGUAGCGAGACCGCGAGGUGGAGCCAAUCCCAAAAAACGCGUCCCAGUCCGGAUUGGAGUCUGCAACUCGACUCCAUGAAGUCGGAAUCGCUAGUAAUUCGAGAUCAGCAUGCUCGGGUGAAUGCGUUCCCGGGCCUUGUACACACCGCCCGUCACACCACGAAAGUCGGUUUUACCCGAAGCCGGUGAGCUAACUCGCAAGAGAAGCAGCCGUCUACGGUAGGGCCGAUGAUUGGGGUGAAGUCGUAACAAGGUAGCAAUCACUAGUGAAUUCGCGGCCGCCUGCAGNNNGNCCAUANGGGAGAGCUCCCA
rnacentral:rRNA from 1 species